rnacentral:rRNA from 1 species
GAUGAACGCUGGCGGCGUGCCUAAUACAUGCAAGUCGAGCGAACAGACGAUGAUCUUGCUCCUCUGACGUUAGCGGCGGACGGGUGAGUAACACGUGUAUAACCUACCUAUAAUACUGGUAUAACUUCGGGAAACCGGAGCUAAUACCGUAUAAUAUAUUGAACCGCAUGGUUCAAUAGUGAAAGACGGUUUUGCUGUCACUUAUAGAUGGAUCCGCGCCGCAUUAGCUAGUUGGUAAGGUAACGGCUUACCAAGGCAACGAUGCGUAGCCGACCUGAGAGGGUGAUCGGCCACCCUGGAAGUGAGACACGGUCCAGACUCCUACGGGAGGCAGCAGUAGGGAAUCUUCCGCAAUGGGCGAAAGCCUGACGGAGCAACGCCGCGUGAGUGAUGAAGGUCUUCGGAUCGUAAAACUCUGUUAUUAGGGAAGAACAAAUGUGUAAGUAACUAUGCACGUCUUGACGGUACCUAAUCAGAAAGCCACGGCUAACUACGUG